GAGGCUUGGGCGAUGGCGGCGCGGGCGGGGAUGGCGGCUUGGGCGAGGGUGGAGUGGGCGGAGACGGGGGCGAGGGAUAAGGUGGAGUGGGCGGGGACGGAGGCUUGGGCGAUGGUGGGGUGGGCGGAGACGGAGGCUUGGGCGAGGGUGGGGUCGGCGGAGACGGAGGCUUGGGCGAGGGUGGGGUCGGCGGAGACGGAGGCUUGGGCGAGGGCGGAGUGGGCGGGGAUGGCGGCAAGGGCGAGGGUGGAGUGGGCGGUAGCCGUGGAGGGGCCUUGCAGCAUUGGAUGCUCUUGUCGAAGAGGGCGGUCUGACAGACGCCGGGAGCACCGUUCGGCGGGGGCAAGCAGAAUUCAUUCAAAAUAGUGCAACCUUUACGUCCCUUGCUGCUCUUCAAGAAAAGGCAAAUCUCAGCUCCAUUGCUGCUAGUAUUCAGGCCCAGAUUGUUAAUGAACAGAACUUGAGUACCGGGGGGAGCCGGAGGACUGGCGGGGAAGUGGAAAUCUGGCUUCUGAAGGGAGAAAUUCCCGUUGAUGGUUGCCUUGAUAUCCAGGGACCACUUGUCGCAUGCAGGAUUGACGUUGAACUGCAGGCAAGGGAAUGGCGAUCAGGCAUCACGAAUCGAUUUGUUCGGGUUAUCAAAUGUUAUCGUGAAGAGAGGAGAAGGAAGUAAACCCACAUCGUACCCCGAUCUGUAUGACGAGUUUGCUUUGAAUCUCAUCCCGCUCCUCUUUCAUCCUGACUCACCUCGAUCUUGUAGAGUCCCGCCCGAGCGCAGGCCUCGGUGCUGCUGCUAGUGUCCACAAGAAGCGUGAAGCAGUAUUUGCCAUUGCCAUAGUCCUUAGGUGGCGAUAAGGAAUACGGGAAACCGGAAGGGGGGCAAUUGCAGAAUGGGAAGACCUUGUACUUCAUCGACACUAAAUCCUGCGCGUUGGCGGCCCUGCGAAGCAACAAAGCAAGUGACAGAUGUCAUUCCCCAUGUUAUCCUUGUAUAAUUUUCAGAUAGAGACAUUUAAGGCAAUUGAUAGAGCGAUACAGCUAACAGUAGCGAAGCUUCAAUGAUCAGCUGCAUAGCCAUCAGUCAGUAGUAAGCACCUCCACACAUGGAGAGCAAACAGGUUUAUACUGUUUAGAUGUUGGCCUGCUUUAUGACCUUAAAGCGCCACACAAAUGUCGCAUGUCCUCACAGACGAUUAGUAGGCUCACUACUCACGCGAAUGCGGCCGCCACGAGAACAAGUCCAUGCAGAACUGAAAUCAUCCUCUUAAUCAGUUAGCCAGAUUCUCGCGAUUAUAUAUAAGUCCGUAUGCAGCGAAUCCAUUGGCCGACGAUACGGCAAUCAUUUCGGACGGCGCGAUCUUUGUCGUAAACAAUGCUGGUGCAUCCUCAAUUUAUAGAGCCAAUUAUUUUUUAAUUUUAUUUGCUUUUAAUUCUCAUUGACACGCUCGGUUAUGUUCACAACCCUACCUGCACCCGUUAAGUCAUGUACAUGUAUGACGGACAUGCAGCUACCUACCUCACUGAAACCCUUAUACUUAUAUUGUUUUUAUUGCAAAAGAAACGAAAAUAACAAUUAUUUGCAGUCCAUUCGGUAAGGUGUCUUUGAGGUUUUGUCGGCCUACGAGUUCGCAAAUACGUUUGGUUUUGAAUUGAAUUGUCAACGAAAGCUCCGAGCUACCGUCUUGGGAUUACAUGGACAGUUGCUCGCCAUGUACACGAAGCCUCUAUUUAUAAAUUUCGCAUUGCCCUUUCGACCCGGCACUACUAGUACCGCUCGAUGUAUGAGCAUUCGGUGAUGAGCUCCGACCGCGGCAACUGUGGCCAUGGGUGCCUAGGGAACGGGAGCCAAGGAAGAUUUACGUGAGCAUUACUGUAAUUAAGUAAUGCUUUAGUGCGUAGGAACCAUUCUGAUUCAUUCAUAUCGACAUGACAGCGGUAUUUGUGGUUGAACUUCAUGUCAGCCAGCUGAAUCACGGUAUUCAAGAGCUUCCGUGCCCAGCCGAGCCGUGGAGGGUCCUGAGUGAUCCGGCUAUGGAGUGCCGGCUCUGGUAGUCGGUGACUAUUAGGGGCCCCCGUGAUUGUCAAGCUGUCCUAUCACCACAGCCUUUAACAUGGCGCCCCCUUUUUUUUAGGUUGUUCUUGGGUUGUUCCCUUAGGAGUGCAAGGCAGGGGCAUGCCUCCCGUUGCUGGGUGCUCUCCGAGAGCAAUGGUACAACCGGGGUUUGCCUGCUGCGGGUACCUUGCAGAAGCAUUAUUAGCUAUUACGGUGUUAUAGGUUAUGUGGUCAGCAUAGUAGAUCUAUUAGGAUCCCCUACAUCAGUUGUCAUGCAUGCAUGCAUUCACGGUGACCGCGUUUGUGAUGGAUGCGCAACUUUUUAUUCUGCGAUUAUAACUAUUUCAUAAAAUUUUCCUGCUUGUCAUCAUGGCGGGUUCUGGGCUAGGAUAAAUACGCUUUGCACAGGUUCAGAUGCAGUACCUGCGCUGAAGCGGCCAGCUUGGGGACUCGGCGGCUUUUUUAUUGUUUGUGGCUUUUAAGUCAGCCUGACGUUUCACCCUUUAUAGCCCGCAGGGCGACAAUUAGCUCCUUCACGCAUAUAAUUUUAUCCAUAGCUCCAUCCACAAGCGGACGACACAACACCGCCGGACCUCUUACAGCCUCUUUUCUUAAAAUAACUAGCCUUCAUGGCAGCUCGCACAUUGAAGUGCGAUUUCGCCAUCGAUUACCUUUUCAGGAGUUACAUAUUAAAGACUACAUCGUAGCCAUUUAUUGUGCGGCUACAUCAAGUACAUUACCUUUUAUGAUUUGAUUUGGAGGCUCCGCAUAAAAACCACAGUAUAAUAUAAAGAUUUUCGGAAAAGCAUGCAAAGAUUUGUACCACACAGCUUCAUGUUCCCGUACUUCUCUAGCUUCUCAGCACUUCGCCUCCGUAAUCCUCCAUUGAGAUAGCUCAGCCUAAAUUUGGUAUCCCUUAUUAGCGCGCUACAGUAAAACUUUGUGAAUUCUGCGAUACAACUGGUGGGUUUGUUAGUUUGCGCCACUUCGCGCUCAAUCCGCAUCGAUUGCAUCGAUUGCACGACAUUCGACUGGACUCUACUUGCUGCUGUAUACAAGCGACUGAAUUUGAAAAUUUUAACAGCAUGUAAAACUGGUCCCCUGCUUCGUAACCUUACAUGAAGAGAUUUUCUGCUGCUAUGCUGCGGAUUACCUGUCCCAUCCGGCGGGAACUUACACACACCAUUCGUCGUUUAGCCUUUUGGUUGCUAUCUUUGCCUUCUUGUUCCUAUCUUCCAUUUGUAGUUUUAGCCUGUGGUUUAGCCUUUGUACUAAGGACACCUUCGUCGGGAAUACCAACGUUGGUACGUAGCGGUAAAAAAUAAACCGUCAACGGUCUGUCGUUCUCUUCCGCGGCUUGCGAACGCCUCCAAGCGCCUCUGGAUCGCGCUCACCAAAAUAUAGCUUAGUUACUAAGAUAACUUCUACAGCAUGGCGUCUCUUUCUUGGGCAUUGCAAGAGCUUAGGCUUUGGGCCCAAGCACCUGAUGUUGGCCCACAGGGAGUACGCCGCCGCAUGGAAACCUGAACUCUGACUUAUAAGUGCUGGGACGCAAGUGGAGCCUGCAUGGAUACCCCUAUCUGUAUUUACCUUCCCUCUGUGCUCUAACCUAGGUGGGAGACAUGAUGCUCUUCAAAUCCUCUUCGCAAAUGCUCCACCAGGCCCCCGACCUAAAGUGUUUUUACCUGCUCGCCUAGAACCUGGCGUCGACUUACACCCCGCGCCCUAGUUUACACCUGAGAACAGUUGAACUGCUAUUAUUUAAUAUACUCGCCUCUGACCGUGCAAGCGCCAGACCGGCUACAUGAGUCUGCCUCAUCAUGACCACUGCUGCGCGCUUGCAUGUGCCCAUGCAAUUAAAUUAUCGAAGAGGUCCAUCGUUUCAUCUGUCACCCGAGAGUCCAGUGAGCUGUAAGCUGAGCGAAACCAUUUCCCUCUUCGCCGGCCAAUCUAGAGUUCUGUUGGAGUAAUAACCACUCGCCCCACUGUCAUGACCGCCAUGCAUGCUCUGUGGUGAGGCUAUCCACAUGGAUCACAAGGCAACGCUGGGGUUGGGAAAGGCGGGGUUCAAAUAAGGAUUUCAGAACGACGUAUUCUCAGGAAGUACGUCUCUUUUGAUUUAAACCUUCUCCGCAUAUUCGAACAUAUCCCUGUUGCUUUGACUUUUAAGCAUUAAAUAAUACCACAGCAGUGGAGUAUACGUACAUUGAUCUCACAUUACAAGGCAACUUUCCAGCAGAUAACUCCCCAUAUCUCCUCACAUACGAGUUAACUCUCAGCCCAAAUCUUACACACAUCACCGUACACAACAUUCUUAUCCCUCCUGGAGUGACAACAGGAUCGCAGCUAUCGACAGAGCCAUUUACCGCUCUAAAUUGCCGUUGUCCACGCAUGCUUGCUCCAGCAUGUACGAAGAGAACGGUCUUUUAGAUGCAUGUAUAAAUACACAUGUUCACCAUCAGCACCGACAGCAGCCCAAUCACAGAGACAUGAGGGCAGCAGGCUUGUGACGUGUAACGACGUUUCCUCCUGCAAAGUGAAAAGUGCAGACUGGCCCAUCAUAAUUAACGAUUAGCCACCUCGAGCCAAGAGUCGAGCCCCGAAACCCAUAGAGAAACAUAUAAACCCGAAACGAGCCCAAGAGCAACGAAGACGGAAAAUGUACGAAGAACAUCGAGAAAUAGUAAUGAUAAAGAUAUGAAGGCUCCGAGGUGCACCAGAUGCAGUUGUUAAGUUUGCAGAAGAAGACAAAAAACCUUCGCGAGUCUGUGCAGGACUGUGACGAUGUUAUCAAAGCCGCUCUAAUCCACAAGGGGUUCAUAGAGGUAGGAGAUGCCUCACGUAGGAUGACUCGAAGAUCUCAGAUCGAAGCCGCCAAGAAUAAAGGACAGCACUUGUUAUCCGGGCUGAAAAGGCUCAUCCUGCAAUUGGUGCGGGGAUGCAAGAAGCAGCAGAAACAGCGCAGAGGCGGAAUGAGAAACGUACAAAAGACAGUCAUGAAAAGGAAUGCCCGUCUCAUCUCACGGCAUGCUUAGGCAGUUAUGGAAAGCGCAACGAUUUUCCUUCUGGCUUGCUCACCCAUGGCUGCCACCUGGCACUCAGGGCGAGAAUGCGCUUUGGCAAUCUGUACUGCUGAUAAAAUAUCAAAAACGAAAAAGACAAUGGCUUCCAAAGAAAGCGACUCACCAGCAAACCUUGCGGCUGCUGUUCGUGAGGCAGAAGCUGCUCAAGUCAACGUUCUGAUUAAACUCGAGGCAGACCUUGCCACCAUCUGCCUGAGCCUUGGACCACCUCAGCGGGGUGACCUUGAACGUCUGCUCGCCCACUGCAGCCCAGCUAGGGGCAAUGUAGCGAAAUGUGUCGGCGUCGGAGGGGCGGACAUAGACGCCUAGAACGCUGCGGCGCAUUGUUUCAUUCGCCCAGAACUCAAUCUUCGCCAACGUGUCCGAGCUGCCGCAACGGCUCUGCAUCAUGUACAUAUGAGGGUGGUGUCGGACUUUCAGAAGACACAAGAGCACUUGUUUGCCGCAUGUACAUAAACACCAGCAGGACACGUCAAGUAAUUCAGCCAAGAGAAACAGGUCAUAAACGUUACCGACUAUACCACAUUUGCACCACAAGGAAAUCGACUCACGUUCGGAUCAUUUGGCUGCACAACAGCGGUACGGAAACAGUACUGCACCCUGUCCUUCUUAGUUCCUGGGACAGUCUCCGUGUACGGCAGAAGUGCGAAAGGAGUAGCGCCGACUGUGGUUGUGCAGCUGCGGUAUUGAUAACAGUGAAAGUGGAGAGGCGGAUGGGACAGUCAAAUAGGUCCAAAAGGGGGGAAGGUCCAACACAUUUGCAGGUUGGCCUAGUCCGUUGGCACACACAGCUCAAAUGCCCUCUGCUCGGUUUGCCUUUACGACGCUUCGCAAACCGGGUACAGAACUGAUACGACAGAGGCACACAGACAGACAGACAGACAGACAGACAUACGAGUACAUUUACGCACUUGUCUUACUUGCAAGGAGGGAACCUGAUGGGAAGUGGUUUGCAAUUCCUCGAGGCUUCAGCAUUCAGGCAUUUGCUCGCUGGAGCAUCUGGCCAUGUGCCGUCACCGCGGAUCGAUACCACGACAUUGAAGGGGCUGAACUCUGAGGGGCAGCCGAUACUAUCCAGGAGGAAUCCGGCCCAAGUAUCAGCCAUAGUCAGGGCGUACGGCUCAAGCUUUUCAGCAUCCGCAUUGGAGGCGAAGGUGAGGCACACCUUGACAAGGCUGCCCUCGCAAUACGGUUCCGGGUUAAGUGGCGACAGCAACCUGGCACCCACACCUUCCGCUUGUGCAAUAAAUUCGUCGACAACCUUAUUGGCUAAGGCACGACACUGAUCGACAGGAAUGUUAAGGCUGAAAACUGAAUUCAGAGGUUGAAUGUAGAGAUAGGUGCAGACCACGCAGGGCGGCACAGGCGAAGGGGAGGGUGUAGGAGGCAAAGGCGACGGUGGGGUGGGCGGAGAUGGAGGCAAGGGAGAGGGUGGGGUGGGCGGGGACGGAGGCUUGGGCGAUGGCGGCGCGGGCGGGGAUGGCGGCUUGGGCGAGGGUGGGGUAGGCGGGGAUGGANNNNNNNNNNNNNNNNNNNNNNNNNNNNNNNNNNNNNNNNNNNNNNNNNNNNNNNNNNNNNNNNNNNNNNNNNNNNNNNNNNNNNNNNNNNNNNNNNNNNNNNNNNNNNNNNNNNNNNNNNNNNNNNNNNNNNNNNNNNNNNNNNNNNNNNNNNNNNNNNNNGGCGAGGGUGGAGUGGGCGGGGACGGAGGCAAAGGCGAGGGUGGAGUGGGCGGGGACGGAGGCAAGGGCGAGGGUGGGGUGGGUGGGGACGGAGGCAAGGGCGAGGGUGGGGUGGGCGGGGAUGGAGGCGAGGGAUAUGGUGGGGUGGGCGGGGAUGGAGGCUUGGGCGAGGGUGGAGUGGGCGGAGACGGGGGCGAGGGAUAAGGUGGAGUGGGCGGGGACGGAGGCUUGGGCGAUGGUGGGGUGGGCGGAGACGGAGGCUUGGGCGAGGGUGGGGUCGGCGGAGACGGAGGCUUGGGCGAGGGUGGGGUGGGCGGGGACGGAGGCUUGGGCGAGGGUGGGGUGGGCGGGGACGGAGGCUUGGGUGAGGGUGGGGUGGGCGGAGACGGCGGCAAGGGCGAGGGCGGAGUGGGUGGUAGCCGUGGAGGGGCCUUGCAGCAUUUAAUGCUCUUGUCAAAGAGGGCGGUCUGACAGACGCCGGGAGCACCGUUCGGCGGGGGCAAGCAGAAUUCAUUCAAAGUAGUGCAACCUUGACGUCCCUUGCUGUUCUUCAAGAAAAGGCAAAUCUCAGCUCCAUUGCUGCUAGUAUUCAGGCCCAGAUUGUUAAUGAACAGAACUUGAGUACCGGG
rnacentral:lncRNA from 1 species